UAUUGCUGUGCUUAGCAAUAUGAGUGCCAACUGUCACCCAAACCCCAAAGCAAUCGGGCACUCCUGUGAUUUUUUUUUAAUGAUUUCUGUUUUUUAAAAAAAAUAUGUUUGUAAUUUUUGCAUUUCUCCUAUAGGGGACAAUGGGGAUUUGAGGCGGCCCAGCCAGCUUUUCUUCCCUUGGGGGGAUGCCUGGACACCCCAAAGUGGGUUUGUGGGUUUGAGCCCCAAGCCAGUGGGGUUUAUGGUCCCCCCCCCGGGAAUUUUUUCGUUUCUGGCCUCUUACACAGUCUCUCUGUAUGUGUGUCUAUCUCACAGUCUAUAUAUGUAUGAAAAUUUCUUCAUAGGGACUGUCAUUGAGAUAACUCAUACAGCAACCAAUAAUCCAGUUUGUGUUUGGACUUGCUGCUGUAUGAGUUCUCUCAAUGUAUCCCUAUGAAGAACUUUACACACACACACACACACACACACACACCCCUACCUACCUAAGAAUCCACUCUGAUAGACUGUGACGCCCUCCCCCAUGCCCCCCCAGCACAAAUUUAUUUAUUUAUUUAUUUAUUGCUGGUGUCUAUCUUGUGCUUCUUUUUAGAUUGUGAGCCCUUUGGGGACAGGGAUCCAUCUUAUUUUGCCAUUUUUGGAAGGGUGGUAUUGAAAUCGAAUAAAUAACUAAUAUUUAUUUGAUUUCUAUACUGCCCUUCCCAAAAUAGAAUUUUUGGAAUUAAAUUUUAAAUCUCAGGUGCUGUUCUUGCUUGUACACUGAGUCUGUGGAUUGGGCGGCACAUUAAAUCUCUUAAUAAAUAAAAUACAUAAAAUAAAUAAUCUAGAAAGUGAGAUGGCAGCCAGAUCUGCAAUGACACUAAACUAAUAGGGUAAAAAGGUAAAGUUGUGCCGUCGAGUCGGUGUCGACUCCUGGUGUCCACAGAGCCAUGUGGUUUUCUUUCUUUUUUCUUUUUAAUAUUAUUUUAUUGAUUUGGGAAAGAUAUAAACAGAGAGAAAUAAGGAAAAGAAAAGAAAAGGAGAAACAAGAUAAUCAAACCCAGCAAAUAAAGAAUUCUCAAUACAGUCUAUAUACGUCGACCUGAAUUCCUUCAACCAACAUGUAUCUCCCCGCUCUACAAAUUAUUGACUGCAGAACUGAAGGAUAACAAAAAUGAUAUUCUUACUUUCUGCAUUAACUUCCUCUACAAAGAAAAGCCAAAUCUUGGAUGAGGUAAUCGACAGCUCAGAUGAUCCAUUUGCCACCAACAGUUCUGAUUUCAAAAGCUGAUAGCAAAUGGCAUAGCAAAAUGGAAAGAAAAUAAAAACCAGGGGGAAGGAUUUGAGAACCCGGCACAAUUUGCAAGGAGCGGGCAGACUUCAAGAAGAGAAGACAGCAAAAUCAGACUGUGUCUCAAUGCCACAGCCAAGAAACAAAUAAGCCAUCAUCAACAACAACAAACCUCAGUUUGGGACACAUGAGUCUGAGCAAGUCUCUGUAACUCUUCUUAUUUUGCAAUUUCUGUUAACACAAUAGUGUUAAGAAAUAUACACUUUAAUGUGCCAAUUUA